rnacentral:rRNA from 1 species
CAGUCGACGCUUCUUUUUCCACCGGAGCUUGCUCCACCGGAAAAAGAGGAGUGGCGAACGGGUGAGUAACACGUGGGUAACCUGCCCAUCAGAAGGGGAUAACACUUGGAAACAGGUGCUAAUACCGUAUAACAAUCGAAACCGCAUGGUUUUGAUUUGAAAGGCGCUUUCGGGUGUCGCUGAUGGAUGGACCCGCGGUGCAUUAGCUAGUUGGUGAGGUAACGGCUCACCAAGGCCACGAUGCAUAGCCGACCUGAGAGGGUGAUCGGCCACAUUGGGACUGAGACACGGCCCAAACUCCUACGGGAGGCAGCAGUAGGGAAUCUUCGGCAAGGGACGUAAGUCUGACCGAGCAACGCCGCGUGAGUGAAGAAGGUUUUCGGAUCGUAAAACUCUGUUGUUAGAGAAGAACAAGGAUGAGAGUAACUGUUCAUCCCUUGACGGUAUCUAACCAGAAAGCCACGGCUAACUACGUGCCAGCAGCCGCGGUAAUACGUAGGUGGCAAGCGUUGUCCGGAUUUAUUGGGCGUAAAGCGAGCGCAAGCGGUUUCUUAAGUCUGAUGUGAAAGCCCCCGGCUCAACCGGGGAGGGUCAUUGGAAACUGGGAGACUUGAGUGCAGAAGAGGAGAGUGGAAUUCCAUGUGUAGCGGUGAAA